UCCUUGUAAUCAAAUUUGAGCAAAAUCAAAUGGGGCUUUCUAUGAAAGUACCUUUUGUUGAUCUGAACGAGCUGGUAAUUUACAAAAUACCCUUCCUUUGUGAGGAAGGCUAAAGAAAAAAAGAAUCAGUAGCUUUUAAAGCUGGGCCUUGGUGGGACUCUAAAUGCAGUGAAAGCAGUCUGUGUUGAGAGAUUGAAAUGCAUUUCAAAGCCAGGCCUGAGUCAGGGUACAGGGAAGAAAAAACCUAUGUGCAUUUUAUAAGAAGAAAAACCUGAAUGGGAAGGGGAAAAGAGAGAGAGGAAAAAAUCUGGAUAAUACAUUAAUCAUUAUUUUGGAAAUUGUCUUCCUUACUGACACAUACUGCGUAACUAGUGAUUGAGAACUUGGAUUUUUGUUCUAUUAUAGGCAUCUCAACAUUUGUCUGUGCUGCUUUAAAGUUUGAGAGGCAAGGAUCCUUGAACACUGCUGGACUAUGUUUUAAAUGUAUUUCCUAGGGGUAAUUAUUUCCCACUGACUCAGACCACAGGACAGUGUGAGCACGUAACAAAUAGGACUGCAGUUAAGAGCUAGGGCUAGGACUUGGAGGAUGUGUAGGCAAACGGAAAGAGAGCCGGGGGAAGAAAAACCGAAAUGGAUUCAUUCUCUGUCCUGGAUGGAGGAGGAGAGGAGAAGAGAAGAGAAGGGGACGUGCGAUCUUCCUUCAACUGCCUCUGUCCGGUGAAAAGUGCUCAGACCCCCGGGGCUGCGCCGGACUCGGGAGUCCGCGCGGACUUUCGCGUUGAGCUGCCAAUCAAACCGCUCACAGCCACCACCCUGCUCUGGCACCGACACGGUCUGUGUGAUCUCCUCCCACGAGAGGCGACUCAGCAGCUCGGUCCCCUCUGCCAUCCCAGCACUGCCAGGGGAGAAGCCCAGGAGGAGCAGAGCAGUGGCUGA
rnacentral:lncRNA from 1 species